rnacentral:rRNA from 1 species
AUGAAUUUUCAGCAACUUGAUCAUGAACAUGUUGCACAAGCUUGGGAGAGGAUGAAACUAAUGAUACGUAAUUGCCCUACACAUGGUUUGAAUCUUUGGAUGAUUAUACGAAAAUUUUAUGCCGGAUUGAACUUUGCUUCUAGAAAUCUUUUAGAUUCGGCCGCAGGAGGCACUUUUAUGGAAAUCACUUUAGGAGAAGCUACCAAACUCCUACUUGAUAUUAUGGUUAAUUAUUCUCAAUGGCACACGGAAAGAUCUACUAGUAAAAAAGUGCAUGCAAUUGAAGAGAUUAAUGUUUUGAAUGGAAAGAUGGAUGAACUUAUGAAAUUGUUUGCUAAUAAGAGUGCUCCUACUGAUCCUAAUGAUACGCCUUUGUCUACUUUGAUUGAGAAUAAUAAUGAAUCUAUGGAUGUGAAUUUUGUUGGUAGGAACAAUUUUGGUAAUAACGCGUAUAGAGAUAAUUUUAAUUCUAGGCCGUUUCCUAGUAAUUCCUCUAAUAAUUAUGGUAAUUCCUACAACAAUUCUUAUGUAAGUUAUAAUAAGAUGCUCUCUGAUUUUGAAUCUAAUAUUAAAGAAUUUAUUAGUUCGCAAAAGAGUUACAAUGCUUUGAUUGAAGAAAAAUUGCUUAAGAUUGAUGAGUUGGCUAGGACCGUGGAUAGAAUUUCUAUUGAUGUUGAUUCUUUGAAAAUUAGAUAUAUUCCACCUAAGCAUGAUAUCAAUGAGUCUCUCAAAGCCAUGAGAAUUUCCAUUGAUGAGUGCAAAGAAAGAACCGCUAGGAUGCGUGCUAAGAAAGAUUACUUUAUGAAAGGGUGUUCUUCUAGUUUUCAUGAUAAUAAGGAUGAAGAUCUAAAAGUGAUUGAUGCGUCCCCUAUUAAAUAUUUGUUUUGCAAUAUGAAUCUUGAUAAUGAUGGGACUGGAGAUGAUUCAACUUUAGUUAGAAGGCGUCCCAAUGAUUGGAGUUUUUAG